UUGAUACUGUAGAGCUAGGAUUAGGUUGCUGUGGGCGGAAUGUGUGGUGUAGCGGUGAAAUGCUUAGAGAUCACACAGAAUAUCGAUUGCGAAGGCAGCUCACAAAGCGUAAAUUGACGCUGAGGCACGAAAGUGUGGGGAUCGAACAGGAUUAGAUACCCUGGUAGUCCACACUGUAAACGAUGAUAACUCGCUGUCGGCGAUAUACAGUCGGUGGCCAAGCGAAAGCGAUAAGUUAUCCACCUGGGGAGUACGACCGCAAGGUUGAAACUCAAAGGAAUUGACGGGGGCCCGCACAAGCGGAGGAACAUGUGGUUUAAUUCGAUGAUACGCGAGGAACCUUACCCGGGCUCGAACGGUGCAUGAAUGUCAGAGAGAUUUGACAGUCCUUCGGGACAUGUAUCGAGGUGCUGCAUGGUUGUCGUCAGCUCGUGCCGUGAGGUGUCGGCUUAAGUGCCAUAACGAGCGCAAC
rnacentral:rRNA from 1 species